ACAUUUGUCAGUCUUUGGCCCUGUGAUGGUAUUUGGGUCACUCAAUUUGCUCUCUGCUGGAUCUGUUAAUGGAAGUCCUGCUAUGUCCUAUUUCUGCGAGCUAUAAACUUUGACAACUUUCUGAAAGCUUGUAUAGUAAAGGGUAGGGUUUAGAUGAACUCAUCUUAAAGGCUUAUCUUGUACUGGAAGGUUCCAGAGUUUCGUCGAAGCAGCUAUUUCACUCAGGAGAACUAAUGAUACUGUGGACACCCUGCUAUGACCAAAAAGCCUUCAUUGAAAUGGGGAAUAUUCUUGAAGUCUGAAAAGAUGGAUUCUCUGAUGCAGGUGGCUUCCUGUGAUAAAAAUGAAGAGGUGAUCUAAACCCCAGCCAGAGAUCUUGAUCUAGGCCAUUAUACAU